rnacentral:rRNA from 1 species
CCUACGGGUGGCAGCAGUGGGGAAUAUUGCACAAUGGGGGAAACCCUGAUGCAGCAACGCCGCGUGAGUGAAGAAGUAUUUCGGUAUGUAAAGCUCUAUCAGCAGGGAAGAAAAUGACGGUAACUGAGUAAGAAGCCCCGGCUAACUACGAGCCAGCAGCCGCGGUCAUACGUAGGGGGCAAGCGUUAUCCGGAUUUACUGGGUGUAAAGGGAGCGUAGACGGCGAUGCAAGUCUGAAGUGAAAGCCCGGGGCGCAACCCCGGGACUGCUUUGGAGACUGUAUGGCUGGAGUGCUGGAGAGGAAAGUGGAAUUCCUAGUGUAGCGGUGAAAUGCGUAGAUAUUAGGAAGAACACCAGUGGCGAAGGCGGCUUGCUGGACAGUAACUGACGUUGAGGCUCGAAAGCGUGGGGAGCAAACAGGAUUAGAUACCCCUGUAGUC